rnacentral:rRNA from 1 species
CCUACGGGAGGCAGCAGUGGGGAAUAUUGGACAAUGGGGGCAACCCUGAUCCAGCCAUGCCGCGUGUGUGAAGAAGGCCCUCGGGUUGUAAAGCACUUUCAGUGAGGAAGAACGCCUGGUGGUUAAUACCCAUCAGGAAAGACAUCACGCACAGAAGAAGCACCGGCUAACUCCGUGCCAGCAGCCGCGGUAAUACGGAGGGUGCGAGCGUUAAUCGGAAUUACUGGGCGUAAAGCGCGCGUAGGUGGCUUGAUAAGCCGGUUGUGAAAGCCCCGGGCUCAACCUGGGAACGGCAUCCGGAACUGUCAAGCUAGAGUGCAGGAGAGGAAGGUAGAAUUCCCGGUGUAGCGGUGAAAUGCGUAGAGAUCGGGAGGAAUACCAGUGGCGAAGGCGGCCUUCUGGACUGACACUGACACUGAGGUGCGAAAGCGUGGGUAGCAAACAGGAUUAGAUACCCUAGUAGUC